ACUGGAUACCCUCUCAGGGGGCUUGUCCCUAGAAAAGACUGAUUCUCCCUCUCUGAGAAGCCAUUAAUUGCCUAUGGUUCUUCAUCUACGGUCGAGUCCUGUGAUGAUUAACCCCAUUCAUGUUGACAAGUUAACUGAUGUUGUCAAUGGACGUGUCUUGUUUAGGUGAUCAUAUUUCUGAGAUUUUAUGGGUACACAACUUCCCUACCAUGUAUAGAAGACUCUUACCUUACAGCAAGUGUCUGUUCUUCUGGUUCUUACAGUCUUUCUGCUUCAUGUUCCCCAAUGUUUCCUCCGCUUUGGAUGUAGGGUUUUCAUUGCAGAUGUAUUAACUAAGUCUAGGUACCCUACAGUCAGUUGUUCUCCAUAAUUUUAACAAGCUGUGGAUUUCUGUAAUGGUCUUUCAACUGGUGAAUGAAUAAUGAAAAUUUGGUACAUAUACACCCUGGAAUUCUAUUCAGCUGCAGAGAUAAUGAAAUCAUGACACUGUUUGUCUUUCUGAGUCUUGGUUACCUCACUUAGCAUAUUUUCUAGUUCCACCCAUUUACCUGUAAAUGUCAUAUUUGGAAUUAAGAAUUACUAUGUAUAAGUGUAUUUUUUAAAGUUAUCAUACCAAACAUAUUUUUUAAACACAUGCACAACAGUCUUCAGAUCCAACACAUAUUUUAAGACGCUGACUGCUAAAAGAAUAAUUUCUAGAGAACAGUGUAUUUGUAAAGGAAGAUUGAGUAGUUCUUUUGUAAAGGAUAUCGUCACAAAAUAAUAGGAAACUGCAGUUGAAGUCAAAUUGUUUUCCCCAAUAUCAUCAAAAUACAUCUCCCAACAAAGCAUUUUCCUAAAAGAAGUCAUUUCCUAACUUGAGUCAGCCCCUGGAUCUAAAAUAUUAUUUGAGGAAAGGAGUAAAAAUGAUUCCAACUUCUUAUGGUUCACUUAUUAUUGCUCAUUUUUAAAGCACAACAUCCCCAAAUCUAAGUGACUACACAGCUCCUGCGUAUAUAAAGACAACAUUGUUGAUUUGGUAGUUAGGAAUGGUAGCACAUGCCUGUAAACUUAGCACUUGAGAAAAUGAAGUGGGAGGAUUGCCAGGUUUCCAGACCAGCCAAGGCUACACAGUGAGAACUCGUCUCAAAAAAUCAGAGGCCCACAAGGAAAUAUAGACUAUUGGCAUUACUCUUGGUUGUCUAUCAGAACUGGAUGGCGAGACCCUAUGGCUGAAGACACCGUACACCCUGGAAGCAGAAAAUAGAGAUAUCACACUGGAAAUGACCUAGAACCUUCUCCCUGCUAGAUAGAUUUAGCUUCAUAAAGCUAUGCAAUGCAGACUGCUUCAAAGAAAAGUCAUCAGCAGUCUCACACUGUAUCAACUUGCCAAGCCGGAAGUGCCCACCAGUGCAAUAAUGACAUGACUAUUAUGGGCAUGGUGUAACAGAUCUCUUUCUGAUUGGAUUUGAGUCCUGCUGUAAAUCUGGUUACAAGCCCUGGCUGGUUAUAUACUAAUGCUCUUUUUUCCUAAACUAACAGGUUGUUGAACUGUCUUCUAAAUAUUUACGUUUAUAUCCACAAGUUAGUCCUGCCAUUGAACUUGGUCAGAAAAGCUUCAUUUAGUAGAAGGUAGCUGUUAAUACUGAGACUCAUAAUUGGUCAAGGUGUUGAGCAUAAGUGACUGUUAAGCCCUAAAGAGAAUAUUUACAUCACCUCUGUGGCCCUGGGAUAGGCAAAUAUGUUUACAUUUGGGGUCCAAAGUUGAUGAAACUGAAAAGAAUCAGGAGGUGUGGCCUUGUUGGAGGAGGGUGUCACUGGGGGUGGACAGGCCCAGUCUCUUUCUCUCAGUCUUCAAUUUACUGAUCAAAUGUGAACUCUCAACAACUUCUCUGUUGGGAGACUUUUGCUGACUGAUAGCGGUCACUGUCUGCCAUAGCCUAGCAGCUUUCUUUCUAAGCUUGGCACUAUGCACACUUCCUCCCUCCCCAGCAAAGCUCCCUGUUCUUUACCCAGCCUUCUCUGGAGGAUGUCCCUGACCUGGAGACAUCUGAAAGAUGUCUCUAAACCAGACAGACAUAUUUAGCUUGAACCCUGACAUAGAUCCCUGCUAGAAGGCUCCCUUGCUGCACAUACUCGGAGCCUUAUGAUUGGAGCAUGCUUCUUAUUGCAAAUUAGGUGAUAUCCCCCUGUCACUGUCCACAGCCUUUAUAUUCCUCUUUCUUCCUGGAAUACAGUGGAGUUGUAACACUCUCCCCUGAGAGCUAUCUCUGCGGACUCACAAACCUAGGGACCUUGCUCACUCAUUUUGGCUCCUCCCCCAUUGCUGAGCCACCAGGAAGAAGCUUGGAGCAAACUGUACUUCUCCAGCAUUCUGUGUGCCUACUAACACACUCCCCGCCAUGAUGGUCAUGAAUGAGCUCCCUGAAACUGUAAACGAGCCCCAUUUAAAUCUGAACCUUUCUACGUUGCCUUGGUCAUGGUGUCUUCUCACCAACAACAGGCUAGUGACUAAGACAACCUUCUUUAAGGCUUGGAGAACAUCACAGAAAAAGGAGUGGGAAGAAUGGAAUUGCCAGCAGCUGGGGGGUGGGGAGUUUGAACAAACAAAUGAAACAAAACCUCAGACAAUAUUGAUGAUUUAGGAUCUUAAAAGCCCAUGAGUGGCUUUUAAAACAUUCACAGUACAAGCAUAAGGUCCUGUGUUAGGAUCCCCAGCACCCACAUAAGACGCCUGGUGGGAUAUUGUGGGCCCUGGAGCUUGCUCUUUAGGUAGUCUUGCUGAAUUGGUAAGAGACUUUGUUGCUUGCUAGAUAAGAGAGAGAAAAAAAAAAGAAAGAAAGAAACAAAGAAAGAAUAUGUAAGGUGGAUAAUGAUAAAAGAAGACAACCAAUGCAAACUUUGACUUACACAUGCACAUACAGCUACACACACACAUGCUCACACACACGCACACACACACACCACAAAAGUCAUUGAGAAACAGAGCGAUGAGAGGUGUGAAUACAAUCAUAAGCACAGGUCUAUGAAACUGGCGCUGUGGUGGGCAGGGCAGAGGUGUGAACAAGAACAACCUAUAAGCAUAUACACGUAUGAAAAUGUCGCAGUAAGGACCACUGAUUUGUAUUGGAGCCAAUGAUUGAAAACAACAAGCCCCAGUAAGAACAUGGGUAACAUACCAAGAACUACACCCCCUCUUCCUGCAGCCAUCUGCUGUCAAAGCUCUUCAACCAGGGGUGGGGUCUCAUGAACCUCAUGAACCCCUUUCCCCACCCAUACUGGAAAGUUGACUGGCUUGAUCUUGUAGAGGCUUUUUUUUUCUUUUUAGUUGCUGUGAGUUCAUAUUACAUCUAGAAGACAGAGCAUCUCUUGACCCUCCCCCAAACAUCUGGCUCUUAUCUUCCUUCUGCACCCCUUCCCUGACAUUCCCUGAGGUGGUGACAGAGAUGUACCUUUUGGGGAUGAGCACUCAGGUCACUUAUUCUCUGCUUAUAAGACUCGGAAUAAAUAGCUGCCUACUGAGUAAGAUGAACAGUAAGAUGAAUCUGUGGAUAUAAACACAGACAUUGGGAAGGCAUGUUGACAACAUGUUCAUUAUCAAGAAAAUAAUAGUAGCAGGUUUUUCCACUAGGACCUAUGACCUCCCUAGCCAUGGGCUUUUUUAGCAUGUUUACAGUAUUACACAUUAACUUCCUCUCUUGAAAUGGGAGUUUGGUAUUGUAGCAUGUAUGGCCCACAGCAGUGUUAAAACCACUGAUGAUUGCUCUCCUAACAACCUACAUAGGCCCUUUGGCACAGUGAACGCCAGCCGGCAGAUGGAAUCUCUCCAUUUAUUAUCAGCUGGAGUUGUCUGUAGCCUGUGUCCAAAGACCGCAAUGCCUUCAGAAAUUGCAUCUUACUAUCUCCUUAAGGUGAGCAUCCAAGAGAAAUAGUAAUGGCCUGUGUUGUCACAGGGGUCUCUGGGGCCUCCUUAACCAAUAUGUUAUAGAGAGGUGUCCCACUCCUGAUACUGAGAUUUUUGGUUAAUAAUCUUGUCUUCUGGAAGAAGUAUUGUCCACCACAGUUUCAAGGAACUUGAGAGGCAUUGUUUAUUUUUUUUUCAAAAUUAACAUUACCUGUCCUUCCACUUGAAAUUCAUAACAAAAACUUAUAUAAUGAUUUCAUGCAAAAUUUUUCUAUGAAUAGAAGGUCAAAAUGUCAUCACAGUAAAAGUGAAAUUAAAUUUCAUCCAUAUAUUUGACCCAAGUCAUUUUUUUUUCAGAAAUCCAUAUGUGCAUUUAAAAGAUUUUUCCUACCAUAGCACCUUAUAAUAUUGUUCAGUCAUGUCUACCUGAGUGCUACUCACCUAUAAUGCCCUUUCCAUAUACAAAGAUUAAUCCUUAACCCAAGCUAAAAGCAAUUCUCAUCAUUCUGUAAACAUGGCUAGACCAUCUACAAUGAGGAGGAUCAGGGUCCACAUGCUUCUUGUCACUCCUGUAUUGCCUGCUGAAUUAUGGCAUUCCUCUCACACCCGUUGCAUUAGUUGGGUGUAUGUAUAUAUCCAUUCAUCUGCUUUGUUUUCUCUAUUUCAAUAGCCAUCUGGAUGCAGAGCAUUGCUCUGCACCCAAGCCCACUUGGCUGGAUACCUAGCAGCCCAGCCUGCUGAGUUUUCCCAGGGCUGUCUAUGGAGGCUGAGCUCUGUUACCUGGACCAUCUCACUCCUUGAAGAGGCCCUGCUGUAUAUAAUUUCAAACCACGGUUCCCCUAGUCUCUUGACUUUAGCAUAGCCUGGUGCCUGUGGAUUUCGUUGGCUCUGUUCCCAUCCAGCAGAUUGAAUUUGCUUAGAUUGCUGUAACUACUGGAAGCAAGCCCAAGUUCAUUGCAAAUCUUUGGAUGCUGGAAGUUGGACUACAAGAGAAUCUCUUCAUGAAGUCACCCAACAACUGAGGUGGGUAUAUUGCAGUUGGUAUGGUGCCCACUGAGAACACACAAGGCCUUGAAUUUGACCCCCAGCACUGCAUAAACAAAACAUGGUGGCACAUACCAAUCAAUCUGUAAUCCUAGAAGUCAAAAGAUGCCAGAGGAUCAGAAUUCCGAGAUUCUCCUUCACUGCUCCAUAACUAUAGCAUUUCACAUGAGAAGAGGAUUUCUGUUUGAGGUUAUGUCGUCUGCAUUUGAAUCGGAGAGGUGCUGUGCCUGGUUGGGAUGGCUGUGGGAGGCUGAUGUGUGUGUCACCAUCUGUGAAUCCUCAUUUCUUGGCAGCUUUGUUGUCCAGCAGAGAAAAAACUCAAAAGACAGCUGAUAUCUGUUUUUAAUCAUCAUAUUUUCCAGAGAAAGGAAGAAGUCCUCUUGUCAUCUCUUGGCUCAGGAUCUACUUUGCUUCUUGCUCCCCAAGAUUCCACUGAGAUAAAAAACGUUGAAAGACAACUUCAUUCAUUUCCUGCACCGGUCCUUCACACAACACCUGCUCUAUAAACACACAUUGUUCAAGCAGGAUUGUCAGCUCUCCCGUUCUCAAACGGUCCGCUUUAAAAUUUUAAGUUGUAAAAUAAAAAUCCUUUAAUCCCUUCAUCAUUCAAUAACCCGGCUAUCUCAUCUAUUCUGCUCUUUAUAUAUCCUAUAUAAAUCUAGUUUUAUGAACAAUGAAAUUUCUUUUAUACAAAACAUAUUUUAAAAAAAAGUUGGCAUUCUUAUAUCUAGCUGUAGGUUUCUUGAAAUAAACUGAAAACAUGGUGAUAAGAUGGAAAGAAUCAGAGGACGACUGGGGAGGAAGGUCCUUCAGGUGAGAUGAAGGGAGCAUCACUAUGGAGUGAUACAUUUCUUUCUCCACAAAGGAGUGUGAGCCGCAGUAUUCUGGCUGUAUUCCAAGUUGCAGGAUGUUUACCCUGCCUCCCUCACCCUGCAGCUUCAAUUACACUCAUUGUCCUCACAAUUCCCGUCAGGAAUGAUUGUGUUGAUGAGCCAGUUAAGACAGCCCUUAUCUCUGAUGCCUGAGAGGCUUCGAUCAGAAGUGCCAGGCAACUUUUCUAUCCAUCACCAAUGUAAAAGCUCAGCGCACAGCAAAUAAAUAAAUGACAUCACUUGGAAGGAUUGCCACCUGCUCUGAGUCUAUUUUAACAUACUCCAUCACUCUGCCUUGGCUGAGCUAAGAAUGUGAACAAGCCAACCUGAUUAUACUGAUGCUGAGUGUUUAAGAUGUCUCACACAUUCCAGACCCUCUCAGAGAUAACACAAAAGACCAGUUGCUUUUGUUACUCCUCUCCUAUGCACAAAGAACAGUGCACGCUGAACACUUUUUGUUAGCGCAAUGCUAUUUCGCCUAAAACACAGUUCUUGCAGAGGAAUACCAAACACUCUUGCUUCCCAGUGUGUAUGCUGAUCACAAAUGAAUCUUGACCUCUUAUUUUCUUUAGAGAAUAAGAUGAUAUAUUUUCCAUAUCCAGACAGAGAAGGAAA